UACGUAGGCAGCGAGCGUUGUUCGGAGUUACUGGGCGUAAAGGUGCGCAGGCGGCCUGGCGCGUCGCGAGUGAAAUCUCCUGGCUCAACUGGGAGGGUGGUCGCGAGACGGCUGGGCUUGAGGCUCGGUGAGGGGCGUGGAAUUCCUGGUGUAGCGGUGAAAUGCGCAGAUAUCAGGAGGAACACCGGUGGCGAAGGCGGGUCUCUGGGCCGAUACUGACGCUGAGGAGCGAAAGCGUGGGGAGCGAACAGG
rnacentral:rRNA from 1 species